rnacentral:tRNA from 1 species
AUUUAUAUAGUUUAUUUAAAACCCUCCAUUUUCAAUGGAAAAAUAAGAAACUAGAUUCUUUAUAAAUA